GUGUCAGCCGCCGCGGUAAUACAGAGGUGGCGAGCGUUGUUCGGAUUUACUGGGCGUAAAGGGCGCGUAGGCGGCCGCGUGUGUGGGGUGUGAAAUCUCCGGGCUCAACCCGGAAAGUGCGCCCCAAACUGCGUGGCUUGAGUGCGGGAGGGGAGAUCGGAAUACAUGGUGUAGCGGUGAAAUGCGUUGAUAUCAUGUAGAACACCGGUGGCGAAGGCGGAUCUCUGGAACGCAACUGACGCUGAGGCGCGAAAGUCGGGGGAGCAAACAGGAUUAGAUACCCCCGUAGUCC
rnacentral:rRNA from 1 species